rnacentral:rRNA from 1 species
AGACGUCUACAUUAGAUACCCGGGUAGUCCCAGCCGUAAACUAUGCGCGUUAGGUGUAUCGGUGACCACGAGUCACCGAGGUGCCGAAGGGAAAUCGUGAAACGUGCCACCUGGGAAGUACGGUCGCAAGGCUGAAACUUAAAGGAAUUGGCGGGAAGCACCACAACGGGUGGAGCCUGCGGUUUAAUUGGACUCAACGCCGGGAAGCUCACCGGAUAAGACAGCGGAAUGAUUGCCGGGCUGAAGACUCUGCAUGACUAGCUG